rnacentral:rRNA from 1 species
AACGAACGCUGGCGGCAGGCUUAACACAUGCAAGUCGAGCGAAGACUUCGGUCUUAGCGGCAGACGGGUGAGUAACGCGUGGGAACGUGCCUUUCGGUUCGGAAUAACCCAGGGAAACUUGGGCUAAUACCGGAUACGCCCUUCGGGGGAAAGAUUCAUUGCCGAAAGAUCGGCCCGCGUCGGAUUAGCUAGUUGGUGGGGUAAUGGCUCACCAAGGCGACGAUCCGUAGCUGGUCUGAGAGGAUGACCAGCCACACUGGGACUGAGACACGGCCCAGACUCCUACGGGAGGCAGCAGUGGGGAAUAUUGGACAAUGGGCGCAAGCCUGAUCCAGCCAUGCCGCGUGGGUGAAGAAGGCCUUAGGGUUGUAAACCCCUUUCAGCGGGGAAGAUAAUGACGGUACCCGCAGAAGAAGUCCCGGCUAACUCCGUGCCAGCAGCCGCAGUAAAAC